rnacentral:lncRNA from 1 species
AAACUUUGAAAGAUGUAACAUAAUUCACUGUAUCAAUUAUCAGCCCUCCAUAGUUCUUUUUCAUAACAGAAGAACAUACAAGGUUCAUCCUUUUCACUACGCUUAUUUCGUCCCAAAAAAUUGGCCAAGCUCUGUUUAUCCCUACCCUAUUUUCUACAGUUUUCAUGACUUUAUAUCUCCGUCUGCUAUCUAUCAUACUGCUGCUCAGGUGGAGAAGAGCUGUAUUUUCUUGCAUCAAAGAUCCCCUUCUGGCAAUUUUGCGUUUCACAGAGAAAUUGCAUACAGGUGUCACAAGUGUAUCUGCCAAGUGCUUGUUCUGACUCCAGCUUCUGUUUGCACGCAUGGACUGACUAAACCCCUGGGGGUGUAAUGUGACUCACUGAACAAACCCUACAAUUAAAGAAGACUCAGGAGAUGAGCAAGGGCGAUGUGCCCAUGAAGCUCAGAGAAUAAUGCAGGGUGUGAAUGGCCACAGCUGCUGCAAAUAAGCUGACUAUGUCAAAACAAAGGGACCAGAGGGUGGCCUUUAUUUUAGAUUAUCAGCUAUCAACUGCUGAAUUGAUCGGAUGGUGGUGUGUUUCUCCCCGAGUUUAUUGAGUGUGAAUGUCUCCCUGAGUUAACCAGAUCUGCAUGGGGUGAGUGCAUACAUGGCUUAUCUCUACAUAGAGCACAUUAAACAACCAGCAAAAAAUUUCAAAGAGAGCAAUGGACUUGAGCUGGCUUCAACUUACAUAUUACUUCAGAGCGACCAGAAAUGUUCAGUAGAUAUUGCAAUUGUUAUAUUGUGAUCAUAUAGUGGUCUCAGUAAGUUGAAAUAUCACUUUUCUAAAUCAAAAUCCCCAUGUAAGAUCAAAU